UACGAGAGGCCCAAACGUUAUUCGGAAUUACUGGGCUUAAAGAGUUCGUAGGCGGCAUGAAAAGUAGGGUGUGAAAGCCCUCGGCUCAACCGAGGAAUUGCGCUCUAAACUGUCGUGCUAGAGGAACCUAGAGGUGAGCAGAAUUGAUGGUGGAGCGGUGAAAUGCGUUGAUAUCAUCAGGAAUACCGGAGGCGAAGGCGGCUCACUGGGGGUUUUCUGACGCUGAGGAACGAAAGCCAGGGGAGCGAACGGG
rnacentral:rRNA from 1 species